UACGUAGGUGGCAAGCGUUGUCCGGGAUUAUUGGGCGUAAAGCGCGCGCAGGCGGUCCUUUAAGUCUGAUGUGAAAGCCCACGGCUCAACCGUGGAGGGUCAUUGGAAACUGGGGGACUUGAGUACAGAAGAGAAGAGUGGAAUUCCACGUGUAGCGGUGAAAUGCGUAGAGAUGUGGAGGAACACCAGUGGCGAAGGCGACUCUUUGGUCUGUAACUGACGCUGAGGCGCGAAAGCGUGGGGAGCAAACAGG
rnacentral:rRNA from 1 species